GCAAGUCGAACGGAGUUAUGCAGAGGAAGUUUCGGAUGGAAUCGGCGUAACUGAGUGGCGGACGGGUGAGUAACGCGUGGGAAACCUGCCCUGUACCGGGGGAUAACACUUAGAAAUAGGUGCUAAUACCGCAUAAGCGCACAGCUUCACAUGAGGCAGUGUGAAAAACUCCGGUGGUACAGGAUGGUCCCGCGUCUGAUUAGCCAGUUGGCAGGGUAACGGCCUACCAAAGCGACGAUCAGUAGCCGGCCUGAGAGGGUGAACGGCCACAUUGGGACUGAGACACGGCCCAAACUCCUACGGGAGGCAGCAGUGGGGAAUAUUGCACAAUGGGGGAAACCCUGAUGCAGCGACGCCGCGUGAGUGAAGAAGUAUUUCGGUAUGUAAAGCUCUAUCAGCAGGGAAGAAAAUGACGGUACCUGACUAAGAAGCCCCGGCUAACUACGUGCCAGCAGCCGCGGUAAUACGUAGGGGGCAAGCGUUAUCCGGAUUUACUGGGUGUAAAGGGAGCGUAGACGGCAUGACAAGCCAGAUGUGAAAACCCAGGGCUCAACCCUGGGACUGCAUUUGGAACUGCCAGGCUGGAGUGCAGGAGAGGUAAGCGGAAUUCCUAGUGUAGCGGUGAAAUGCGUAGAUAUUAGGAGGAACACCAGUGGCGAAGGCGGCUUACUGGACUGUAACUGACGUUGAGGCUCGAAGCGUGGGGAGCAAACAGG
rnacentral:rRNA from 1 species